GACGAACGCUGGCGGCGUGCUUAACACAUGCAAGUCGAGCGGUAAGGCCUUUCGGGGUACCCGAGCGGCGAACGGGUGAGUAACACGUGGGUGAUCUGCCCUGCACUUCGGGAUAAGCCUGGGAAACUGGGUCUAAUACCGGAUAUGACCUCCUAUCGCAUGGUGGGUGGUGGAAAGAUUUAUCGGUGCAGGAUGGGCCCGCGGCCUAUCAGCUUGUUGGUGGGGUAAUGGUCUACCAAGGCGACGACGGGUAGCCGACCUGAGAGGGUGACCGGCCACACUGGGACUGAGACACGGCCCAGACUCCUACGGGAGGCAGCAGUGGGGAAUAUUGCACAAUGGGCGAAAGCCUGAUGCAGCGACGCCGCGUGAGGGAUGACGGCCUUCGGGUUGUAAACCUCUUUCAGCAGGGACGAAGCGCAAGUGACGGUACCUGCAGAAGAAGCACCGGCUAACUACGUG
rnacentral:rRNA from 1 species